rnacentral:rRNA from 1 species
GACGAACGCUGGCGGCGUGCUUAACACAUGCAAGUCGAACGGAAAGGCCCUGCUUUUGUGGGGUGCUCGAGUGGCGAACGGGUGAGUAACACGUGAGUAACCUGCCCUUGACUUUGGGAUAACUUCAGGAAACCGGGGCUAAUACCGGAUAGGAGCUCCUGCUGCAUGGUGGGGGUUGGAAAGUUUCGGCGGUUGGGGAUGGACUCGCGGCUUAUCAGCUUGUUGGUGGGGUAGUGGCUUACCAAGGCUUUGACGGGUAGCCGGCCUGAGAGGGUGACCGGCCACAUUGGGACUGAGAUACGGCCCAGACUCCUACGGGAGGCAGCAGUGGGGAAUAUUGCACAAUGGGCGGAAGCCUGAUGCAGCAACGCCGCGUGCGGGAUGACGGCCUUCGGGUUGUAAACCGAUUUCGCCUGUGACGAAGCGUGAGUGACGGUAAUGGGUAAAGAAGCACCGGCUAACUACGUG